rnacentral:rRNA from 1 species
AGCGGAUGAGAAGAGCUUGCUCUUCGAUUCAGCGGCGGACGGGUGAGUAAUGCUAGGAUCUGCCUGGUAGUGGGGGACAACGUUUCGAAGAGGAACGCUAAUACCGUAUAUGUCCUAGCGGGAGAAAGCAGGGGACCUUCGGGCCUUGCGCUAUCAGAUGAGCCUAGGUCGGAUUAGCUAGUUGGUGAGGUAAUGGCUCACCAAGGCGACGAUCCGUAACUGGUCUGAGAGGAUGAUCAGUCACACUGGAACUGAGACACGGUCCAGACUCCUACGGGAGGCAUCAGUGGGGAAUAUUGGACAAUGGGCGAAAGCCUGAUCCAGCCAUGCCGCGUGUGUGAAGAAGGUCUUCCGAUUGUAAAGCACUUUAAGUUGGGAGGAAGGGCAUUAACCUAAUACGUUAGUGUUUUGACGUUACCGACAGAAUAAGCACCGGCUAACUCUGUGCCAGCAGCCGCGGUAAUACAGAGGGUGCAAGCGUUAAUCGGAAUUACUGGGCGUAAAGCGCGCGUAGGUGGUUUGUUAAGUUGGAUGUGAAAGCCCCGGG